rnacentral:rRNA from 1 species
CACAUGCUCGUCGAGCGGGCAUAGCAAUAUGUCAGCGGCAGACGGGUGAGUAACGCGUGGGAACGUACCUUUUGGUUCGGAACAACUGAGGGAAACUUCAGCUAAUACCGGAUAAGCCCUUACGGGGAAAGAUUUAUCGCCGAAAGAUCGGCCCGCGUCUGAUUAGCUAGUUGGUGAGGUAAUGGCUCACCAAGGCGACGAUCAGUAGCUGGUCUGAGAGGAUGAUCAGCCACAUUGGGACUGAGACACGGCCCAAACUCCUACGGGAGGCAGCAGUGGGGAAUAUUGGACAAUGGGCGCAAGCCUGAUCCAGCCAUGCCGCGUGAGUGAUGAAGGCCCUAGGGUUGUAAAGCUCUUUUGUGCGGGAAGAUAAUGACGGUACCGCAAGAAUAAGCCCCGGCUAACUUCGUGCCAGCAGCCGCGGUAAUACGAAGGGGGCUAGCGUUGCUCGGAAUCACUGGGCGUAAAGGGUGCGUAGGCGGGUCUUUAAGUCAGGGGUGAAAUCCUGGAGCUCAACUCCAGAACUGCCUUUGAUACUGAAGAUCUUGAGUUCGGGAGAGGUGAGUGGAACUGCGAGUGUAGAGGUGAAAUUCGUAGAUAUUCGCAAGAACACCAGUGGCGAAGGCGGCUCACUGGCCCGAUACUGACGCUGAGGCACGAAAGCGUGGGGAGCAAACAGGAUUAGAUACCCUGGUAGU